rnacentral:tRNA from 1 species
AGGGAUAUAGCUCAGCUGGUAGAGCAACGGUCUCCAAAACCGUAGGUCGCAGGUUCGAGUCCUGUUGUCCCUGCCA